AUACCUUCAGCCAUUAAACCCCUGACCUAAACAUUCAUCUACCUCCACAAAUAAACCACCGUAACCUUCUGCUCCCCAUCAAACUUGCACCGCCGACACCCCCUGUUCACCUAUCUCCCAACCGCCGUACCCCCUUAUCUCACCACCUAUACCGCCGAUAAACCCUCAUCCACCCGCCAUUACACCACCUAGACCACCCUCGUGCUCGAUUGCUUUCACCAAACAAAACCCCCAUAUCAAAAUCAUCACCUGGCCGCUGAUUUGCUCGAUUUGGGACCUACCUACACUCGAAAAAAGCAAAUUUGAAUUUUUCUUUGCAAAUAACAACGAUUCAGGUACGACUCUUGCUUGUUUUCUUCUGUUUUGAUGUUUAAAGUUAUUGAAGAUGGUGCUGAUGAACUGCAGAUUGAAGAUGGUGCUUAUUGAUUGCAGGUUUUGUUUAUGAAAAUGGUGCUGAUGAACUGCAGAUUGAAGAUGAAGAAUCGAUGAAAAUGAUGAUGAUUUGACUUUGUAUGGUGCUGAUGAACUGCAGAUUGAAGAUGAAGAUUGAAGGGGUUGAAGAUGAAGAACUGAUGAUGAUGAUGAUUAUUGAUAUGGCGGUGGUGGCAUUCGAUCGGAACCGAUGAAGAUGAUGAUUAUUGAUUUGAUUUUGUGAAU
rnacentral:lncRNA from 1 species